rnacentral:rRNA from 1 species
ACGGGAGACACACGGCGGGUGCUAACGUCCGUCGUGAAGAGGGAAACAACCCAGACCGCCAGCUAAGGUCCCAAAGUCAUGGUUAAGUGGGAAACGAUGUGGGAAGGCCCAGACAGCCAGGAUGUUGGCUUAGAAGCAGCCAUCAUUUAAAGAAAGCGUAAUAGCUCACUGGUCGAGUCGGCCUGCGCGGAAGAUGUAACGGGGCUAAACCAUGCACCGAAGCUGCGGCAGCGACACUAUGUGUUGUUGGGUAGGGGAGCGUUCUGUAAGCCUGUGAAGGUGUGCUGUGAGGCAUGCUGGAGGUAUCAGAAGUGCGAAUGCUGACAUAAGUAACGAUAAAGCGGGUGAAAAGCCCGCUCGCCGGAAGACCAAGGGUUCCUGUCCAACGUUAAUCGGGGCAGGGUGAGUCGACCCCUAAGGCGAGGCCGAAAGGCGUAGUCGAUGGGAAACAGGUUAAUAUUCCUGUACUUGGUGUUACUGCGAAGGGGGGACGGAGAAGGCUAUGUUGGCCGGGCGACGGUUGUCCCGGUUUAAGCGUGUAGGCUGAUUUUCCAGGCAAAUCCGGAAAAUCAAGGCUGAGGCGUGAUGACGAGGCACUACGGUGCUGAAGCAACAAAUGCCCUGCUUCCAGGAAAAGCCUCUAAGCAUCAGGUAACAUCAAAUCGUACCCCAAACCGACACAGGUGGUCAGGUAGAGAAUACCAAGGCGCUUGAGAGAACUCGGGUGAAGGAACUAGGCAAAAUGGUGCCGUAACUUCGGGAGAAGGCACGCUGAUAUGUAGGUGAAGCGACUUGCUCGUGGAGCUGAAAUCAGUCGAAGAUACCAGCUGGCUGCAACUGUUUAUUAAAAACACAGCACUGUGCAAACACGAAAGUGGACGUAUACGGUGUGACGCCUGCCCGGUGCCGGAAGGUUAAUUGAUGGGGUUAGCGGUAACGCGAAGCUCUUGAUCGAAGCCCCGGUAAACGGCGGCCGUAACUAUAACGGUCCUAAGGUAGCGAAAUUCCUUGUCGGGUAAGUUCCGACCUG